rnacentral:rRNA from 1 species
CAGCAGCCGCGGUAACACGAAGGGGGCUAGCGUUGUUCGGAUUUACUGGGCGUAAAGGGUGCGUAGGCGGAUUGUUAAGUCAGGGGUGAAAUCCCGAGGCUCAACCUCGGAACUGCCUUUGAUACUGGCGAUCUUGAGUCCGGGAGAGGUGAGUGGAACUGCGAGUGUAGAGGUGAAAUUCGUAGAUAUUCGCAAGAACACCGGUGGCGAAGGCGGCUCACUGGCCCGGUACUGACGCUGAGGCACGAAAGCGUGGGGAGCAAAUGGGAUUAGAUACCCGGGUAGUCCCUGUCUCUUAUAA